UGGGGAAUUUUGGACAAUGGGCGCAAGCCUGAUCCAGCCAUGCCGCGUGCGGGAAGAAGGCCUUCGGGUUGUAAACCGCUUUUGUCAGGGAAGAAACGCUCUGGGCUAAUACCCUGGGGUAAUGACGGUACCUGAAGAAUAAGCACCGGCUAACUACGUGCCAGCAGCCGCGGUAAUACGUAGGGUGCAAGCGUUAAUCGGAAUUACUGGGCGUAAAGCGUGCGCAGGCGGUUAUGCAAGACAGAUGUGAAAUCCCCGGGCUCAACCUGGGAGCUGCGUUUGUGACUGUGUUGCUAGAGUGUAGCAGAGGGGGGUGGAAUUCCACGUGUAGCAGUGAAAUGCGUAGAGAUGUGGAGGAACACCGAUGGCGAAGGCACGCCCCG
rnacentral:rRNA from 1 species